AGUGAACGCUGGCGGUAGGCCUAACACAUGCAAGUCGAACGGCAGCACAGGAGAGCUUGCUCUCUGAGUGGCGAGUGGCGGACGGGUGAGGAAUACAUCGGAAUCUACUCUGUCGUGGGGGAUAACGUAGGGAAACUUACGCUAAUACCGCAUACGACCUACGGGUGAAAGCAGGGGACCUUCGGGCCUUGCGCGAUUGAAUGAGCCGAUGUCGGAUUAGCUAGUUGGCGGGGUAAAGGCCCACCAAGGCGACGAUCCGUAGCUGGUCUGGGGGGAUGAUCAGCCACCCUGGAACUGAGACACGGUCCAGACUCCUACGGGAGGCAGCAGUGGGGAAGAUUGGACAAUGGGCGCAAGCCUGAUCCAGCCAUACCGCGUGGGUGAAGAAGGCCUUCGGGUUGUAAAGCCCUUUUGUUGGGAAAGAAAUCCAGCUGGCUAAUACCCGGUUGGGAUGACGGUACCCAAAGAAUAAGCACCGGCUAACUUCGUGCCAGCCGCCACCGUAA
rnacentral:rRNA from 1 species